UACGUAGGGCGCAAGCGUUAUCCGGAAUUAUUGGGCGUAAAGAGCUCGUAGGCGGUGUGUCACGUCGGCCGUGAAAACCUGCAGCUUAACUGUGGGCGUGCGGUCGAUACGGGCAUCACUGGAGUUCGGCAGGGGAGACUGGAAUUCCUGGUGUAGCGGUGAAAUGCGCAGAUAUCAGGAGGAACACCAGUGGCGAAGGCGGCUCACUGGCCCGAUACUGACGCUGAGGUGCGAAAGCGUGGGGAGCAAACAGG
rnacentral:rRNA from 1 species